GAGCAGCGAGCAGCUCCACUUUGCUCCCGGCGGGGGAGGAAAAUGCCUUGUCUAUGGGAAAUAAUUGUGAAAAACACAACGGGGCAACCCGCCCGAGAAAACCUGAAUGGAUGGAGCCAGUAAGACGUCACGGUGAGCUGCAGCCAUGAAGCGAAGGAUCAGGAGCAAGGCAUCAUUUGGAGGCUCAGUCUUGUCGCGCAGAUUGACUAAUUCUCUUGAUUGUUGUGGAGCGCGCGGGUGCCUGCGAUUCCAAGACGAAGGUGAUCUUGGACAACACUAGAAGAAUCAGACAGCAUUUAGGCGAGAGUUUUGCCAGUCUGACUGCUUCCCUGGAGGUGUGGUUAUGGGUUGCCUAGGGGUUGGCUGUUAUCUUUGGUUAUCUAGCUGUAUGAGUGAUGUACAUUCUUCAUAAAGCUAGAUAACCGAAAGUAACAAGAAUCCCAUUACACUCCUGAAAGGCGUCCCCCAUUCAACAUGUGAAGUCAAGAAGACACACAUGGCGGAAGGCUUACAACUUCAAAAUGGGCACCACCACCAUCAGUCGUUCAGAGAUGCCAGUGGGAGAGUGAGGAAGCGUGGUUCUUGGGAGGAGGGGCUGGUCCACCACCACCACCACCACCACCCACCUCCACCCACCUCCACCCACCUCCUCCUCCAGCCUCCCUCCAUCACCACUCGCAUGUGUAGCCUGUCCCCCAACCCCUCCCUCCGCCUCUGCCUUCCUGCCUGCUUGCCUGCCUGCCCUCUCCUGCGUAUCACAAGAUGCAGCCUGCGCCACCAUCUUAUGAGGAUGCCUGGUGUAAAAUGGAUGUGGGGGGAAAACACGAAAGGAGGUAAAACAAGUGCAAAAGAAGAGGUACCGACAGAUGGAUCAGCAAACGGAAACCGACACUCUCCCUGACAGACUCCAAUAUGGCCACGAGCACUUACACCAUGGAACGCAUGUUGUCUGCCGUCUACUCAUUCUGUGCCCCAACGCCCGAUCCCAAAAGCACUUUACAUGUUGCAUCGUCUGUUAACGUUUCAUGCGCCCUUUGGCGGCAGUUGGCCAUUUACGUCUGGUGAGGGGACACUACAUAUACGGUUGUGAUUGCCUUCGCGGUCUUCCGGUGGCGAUAUAGAAGCACUCCGAGCUCGUAAAACCUCUGCGCGGUCCAGUCUGUCUGCGCCUCUGAGCAGACAGGACACACACCUGGAGUACGUCUGUCUGUCUCGCCAGCAGACACUGCAGAACAGCACACAGCACAAUCCCCAGCUGUUUACAAUCUAUAAAAGAGACUUGUGCAAUGCAUUAAAUGCAUAUGUAUAUUCUGAAACGAUUGGAUUUUAAAAAAAAUGUAUGUGGAAUUGCUUAAGAUGAGCGAUUGUUUUUAAUAUGCACUAAAUGUAUAGCAGGGUAUUUGUUGUUUGCUAACCUACACUAAUAGGAAUGUUUGUUUGCUUAAUUCAUAUAGGGUACUUUAAAUCAUGUUAACCUGAAGGAUUUCUGGUAGUGUAUCCCAUGUAGAUAGCUGGUGUAGUGGACCUCCUUUUUUUUGUAUUACUCUAAUUGUUUUGUAAUAUAGAAAUAAUUUAGCGCUGAGCAUGUGUGUGAAUGUGUGUAAGACCCACGGCAGCAGUGAAGCCAACUGCACUGUGAUUGGACGGCUCCAUGUGUGAACACACACACGCUGGUGAAGGAGAGAGCUGUUGUCUUUAUUCUCUAUGCAACUCCACAGGGCUCGCAAUCAACUGAAACAUGUACCUUUGCACUAACAAAUACUGAAAAGUCUAUCCUUUUAUGCAUGCUUUGAUGGAAAGUGUGUGUGACAGAGCGAGUGUAUGUGGUGUGUGUGUGUGUGUGUGUGUGUGUGUGUGUGUGUGUGUGCAUGAAUCAGAUUUUUUUUUUGUAAAUUUGGUUUCCAUCUCGGGUAGUGGCAACAUUUUUAUUCAAUCAUGAUUUGAUCUAUGCAAUUGUAAUCGAUCCAUUUGUGCAUUUAAUGUUUUAAUGGGACUAUCAAGACUAUUGGGGACUUUGUGUAUUGUCCUUGUCGAUCUUUUUUUUCAUGGCAAUCAAAAUGAACAAUCUUUUUUGACAACUGUCAAGUAAAUCAUCUUUGUAUGUAUGCAAGCCACAUUGUGUGGUCUCAGUUGGUUGCAGUCCCUCUGAAUUUUAUAUGAAAAUAAUCUAUGCAAAAUAUUUUGUAAUUCGAGAAGUUAUAAAAUUUUACUGUGAAUUUGCACUUACUGGCUCUGUGUUUACCAUAAUGUGCCUUUGACUAACAGUGUCCUGUUAUGGAUUGAAAAUAAAAGUUUACAC